GAAANNNGCAAGGCAGAACGACCUGUGAACUCGUUUAUCNUCCUCGAGGGGCAGAGCUNGUNUCAGCCCCUUGAAGCUGGCUCACGCCUUCCCCCUUUUCCCUUGAAAAGGGNGAGGGGUGGGCGCGUCCCGGCAAACACCCUAACACCGGCGCGGGUUGCGCCAAGGACCAUGAAUUAUAUCGCGUCACACGACUCUCGGGAGACCGGGGGCCGUGGUGAUGGCGUGUCGAUACAAAAACAAAACGACUCUCGGCAACGGAUAUCUCGGCUCUCGCAUCGAUGAAGAACGUAGCGAAAUGCGAUACUUGGUGUGAAUUGCAGAAUCCCGUGAACCAUCGAGUCUUUGAACGCAAGUUGCGCCCGAAGCCAUUCGGCCGAGGGCACGUCUGCCUGGGCGUCACGCAUCGCGUCGCCCCUNCCCCCUUUAAGAAAGGGUGAGGGGCGGAUUGUGGCCCCCCGUGCGCCCGUGUGCGCGGCCGGCCUAAACACGGAGCCCGUGGCCGNGAAUGCCGCGACGUUUGGUGGUUGAACUACGGCCCCUGUGGUCGNGAAGCAUCGCGUCGCGUGCCCAAGCGGACCUCGUGAGCUCGAAGGACCCUNUNCGACCCCAGGUCAGGCGGGAC
rnacentral:rRNA from 1 species